rnacentral:piRNA from 1 species
UUAACCUUGUUCAGGCAGCCUGUCCUCAC